CUGCAUGGUUGUCGUCAGCUCGUGCCGUGAGGUGUCGGGUUAAGUCCCGUAACCGAGCGCAACCCUUGUCCUUAGUUACCAGCACGGUUAUGGUGGGCACUCUAAGGAGACUGCCGGUGACAAACCGGAGGAAGGUGGGGAUGACGUCAAGUCAUCAUGGCCCUUACGGCCUGGGCUACACACGUGCUACAAUGGUCGGUACAAAGGGUUGCCAAGCCGCGAGGUGGAGCUAAUCCCAUAAAACCGAUCGUAGUCCGGAUCGCAGUCUGCAACUCGACCGCGUGAAGUCGGAAUCGCUAGUAAUCGUGAAUCAGAAUGUCACGGUGAAUACGUUCCCGGGCCUU
rnacentral:rRNA from 1 species